AUAGGUCAAGCUACAAAGGGCGCAUGGCGAAUGCCUUGGCACUAGGAGCCGAAGAAGGACGCGUUAAGCUGCGAUAAGCUUUGGGUAGGCGCAAAUAGCCUGUGAUCCAAAGAUUUCCGAAUGGGGGAACCCACAUAGUAACAACUAUGUACUGCAUACUGAAUAAAUAGGUAUGCAGAGGUACACCCGGGGAACUGAAACAUCU
rnacentral:rRNA from 1 species